rnacentral:rRNA from 1 species
GAUGAACGCUGACAGAAUGCUUAACACAUGCAAGUCAUUGGCGAAGCUGCGCUUGCGCAGUCUAGCCAAGGCGGACGGGUGAGUAACGCGUAAGGAACUUGCCCUGCAGACAGGGAUAACAGACGGAAACGACUGAUAACACCUGGUAUUGUCAGGCUGGCGCAUGCCGGCCUGAUGAAAGGAGACGCUGCAGGAGAGCCUUGCGUCCUAUUAGCUAGUUGGUGGGGUAACGGCCCACCAAGGCGAUGAUAGGUAGCCGGCCUGAGAGGGUGAACGGCCACAAGGGGACUGAGAUACGGCCCUUACUCCUACGGGAGGCAGUAGUGGGGAAUAUUGGACAAUGGGGGCAACCCUGAUCCAGCAAUUCUGUGUGCACGAAGAAGGUUUUCGGAUUGUAAAGUGCUUUCAGCAGGGAAGAAGAAAGUGACGGUACCUGCAGAAGAAGCGACGGCUAAAUACGUG